CCAUAAAUGAAUACAAACAUUACUAAUUACUGAAUAUACUAUAUAACAUGCCUCAUCUAUUUUUCUCAUCUAAUUAUAUGGCUAAGGCAAACCAUAAAUAAAUAAAUAAACCAACCAACUUUCCCAGCAAACAUAGUAACAUUAUUUCAUCUGAUAUUCACUGUAACACCUGAGUGGCCUUGACAUGAGUCUGCAUAACUUCUCAUUAGAUAGUUCAAAUCUUUGUACAGAACUGUUUGAUGUUUCUCCACAUAUUUUCUCCUUAGGCAUUCCAAUCUCCUUGGCCAAAUUCUCUGCCCCACUUUAUGAAUCUAUCACUUUAUCAAAGCAAAUGUAUCUACCAGAAGCAUUGCUGUUCAUUGCCUUCAACACACUUGCAUGAGCUUCUGCCAAUUUGGUCACAUCCACUGUUACUAGCAGACCAAGAGAAUACAUUUCUUGACCACCUACAUCAGCAAUUUUAAGUGUCUUGCCACACACAAGCUGCUAGUGAGGAAGUGAACACACAUCUCUUUAUUGAAGCUGUUCUUGCACAUGCUUCCAUCACAUUCUCAGCAACUCUUUACUUCAAUCUUAGCCAUGGAUUUCUAGAAAUCAGACAAACAAUUGCUCAGAUAUUAU
rnacentral:sRNA from 1 species